rnacentral:rRNA from 1 species
CCUACGGGAGGCAGCAGUGAGGAAUAUUUGUCAAUGGACGAGAGUCUGAACCAGCCAAGUAGCGUGAAGGAUGACUGCCCUAUGGGUUGUAAACUUCUUUUAUAUGGGAAUAAAAUGUUCCACGUGUGGGAUUUUGUAUGUACCAUAUGAAUAAGGAUCGGCUAACUCCGUGCCAGCAGCCGCGGUAAUACGGAGGAUCCGAGCGUUAUCCGGAUUUAUUGGGUUUAAAGGGAGCGUAGGUGGAUUGUUAAGUCAGUUGUGAAAGUUUGCGGCUCAACCGUAAAAUUGCAGUUGAAACUGGCAGUCUUGAGUACAGUAGAGGUGGGCGGAAUUCGCGGUGUAGCGGUGAAAUGCUUAGAUAUCACGAAGAACUCCGAUUGCGAAGGCAGUUCACUGGACUGCAACUGACACUGAGGCUCGAAAGUGUGGGUAUCAAACAGGAUUAGAUACCCUUGUAGUC